rnacentral:lncRNA from 1 species
CUUUAUCCCCAUUUGUUCUUGUACCAACUAUUUUCUGCUUUUGCACUAUCUGCGCAGGUGCCAAUUCCAGGAGCAGCACGACCAAGAAUCCGCCUUAUCAAGUCUCCAGGUGCUUCCCCUCUUUGGACGAAAUAGCCUGGGGUCAUUGGCCCUCAAGGCAGGUACCAUGAUUAAUUAUCCUCACUGUCAAAAAUAUACACUGCAUAAUUUAUAUUGCUUAUAAAACAACAUAAGAUUAAACCAGAUAAACUGGUGUAAUUGGUGUAAUUGGAGCUGUACACAUUGGAGCUGAUACAAGUUAACUUCCCGGGAAGUACCAUAGUGGCAGGGGUUGGGUUGUUCAUGGGGGUAGGUGCUGGAUUGAGUCCAUCUGCUUUGGGAACAUGUCAGGGGGCCCACAGCUUUCACACAGCUGCCUCUAUU